GUCCACGCUGUAAACGAUGUGUGCUAGACGUUGGGGAGCCUAGCUCUUCGGUGUCGCAGCUAACGCGGUAAGCACACCGCCUGGGGAGUACGGCCGCAAGGUUAAAACUCAAAGGAAUUGACGGGGGCCCGCACAAGCGGUGGAGCAUGUGGUUUAAUUCGACGCAACGCGAAGAACCUUACCAGCCCUUGACAUCCUGGGAACUUGCCGGAGACGGCUUGGUGCCUUCGGGAACCCAGAGACAGGUGCUGCAUGGCUGUCGU
rnacentral:rRNA from 1 species